UACUCUGCUGUUCUCUCCACA
rnacentral:miRNA from 1 species